rnacentral:misc_RNA from 1 species
UUUCCGUAGGUGAACCUGCGGAAGGAUCAUUCAUAAUAAAGUGUUUUAUGGCACUUUUUAAAAAUCCAUAUCCACCUUGUGUGCAAUGUUAGAUCUCGUCAAUCUUGGCGAGAUUUUUAUACAUCAACUCAUUCUUUAACUAAUUUGUCUGAAAAAUAUUAUGAAUACUUAAUUCAAAAUACAACUUUCAACAACGGAUCUCUUGGCUCCC